AAUCUGUGAGGUGGAUGCGUGUUGGAAGGACCCCUUUUGGUUUCUUUUUGCUCAGAGCUUUCUUUUAAUAAAUUCCGCUCUCCUCACCUUUCAAUGUGUCCGUAUGCCUAAUUUUUCCUGGUCCUGUGACAAGAACCUGAUUUUAGCUGAACUAAGGAGCGAAAGAUCCUGGAUCAUUUUGGUGACCCAUACUGGUACAUGAGGAAAGAAAAGAAGACCAAGAAUGUAA
rnacentral:lncRNA from 1 species